rnacentral:rRNA from 2 species
CUUGGCGGCGAUAGCGCGGUGGUCCCACCUGACCCCAUGCCGAACUCAGAAGUGAAACGCCGUAGCGCCGAUGGUAGUGUGGGGUCUCCCCAUGCGAGAGUAGGGAACUGCCAGGC